GCCUUUACCGAUGACUGACUUCCUUUUUGUCACACUUUAGACUGUUGUACGGUCACAUUGGAUUUGAAAGAAACAUCCUUUCUUCCAUACAUCCACGCUGCCUGAAAGACGACAGCUUCCUGAAUCCAACGAUACCAGAUAUGUGCACAUCGGACCUCCGCUUCAAAAGAUACGGCCAGAUACUACAAAAAUACUACAUUUGGAAAAAGGAUUCUUGAAAGUGCAGUACCUUUGUGUGACCACAAGAUGUAGGUGUCACAUCACCUAUGAACCUACCCUAUGUUAAAAUCAUACACACUUGUAAAGACUGUUGUACGGUCACAUUGGAUUUGAAAGCAACAUCCUUUCUUCCAUACAUCCACGCUACCUGAAAGACGACAGCUUCCUGAAUCCAACGAUACCAGUUAUGUGAACAUCGGACCUCCGCUUCAAAAGAUACGGCCAGGUAAGCUUUGGCAAAUCAGAUCGCAUAUGCUAAUGAGGGUGGAAUUAAUGAGGGUGAAACUCGUUUUUAUCUAUAUACCUAGUUGCAAUUAACCCCAGACUAGCCCCUAACCCUAACCAUAAACUGCUAGCCCUAGCCUCACUAAAC